AUUGAACGCUGGCGGCAUGCCUUACACAUGCAAGUCGAACGGUAACAGGUCUUCGGAUGCUGACGAGUGGCGAACGGGUGAGUAAUACAUCGGAACGUGCCCAAUCGUGGGGGAUAACGCAGCGAAAGCUGUGCUAAUACCGCAUAAGAUCUACGGAUGAAAGCGGGGGGAUCGCAAGACCUCGCGCGAGUGGAGCGGCCGAUGGCAGAUUAGGUAGUUGGUGAGGUAAAGGCUCACCAAGCCUGCGAUCUGUAGCUGGUCUGAGAGGACGACCAGCCACACUGGAACUGAGACACGGUCCAGACUCCUACGGGAGGCAGCAGUGGGAAUAUUGCAAUGGCGAAGACCUGAUCCAG
rnacentral:rRNA from 1 species